UACGUAGGGGGCAAGCGUUGUCCGGAUUUAUUGGGCGUAAAGAGCGUGUAGGCGGCCAGAUAGGUCCGUUGUGAAAACUGGAGGCUUAACCUCCAGCUGUCGGCGGAAACCAUCUGGCUAGAGUCCGGAAGAGGAGAAUGGAAUUCCCGGUGUAGCGGUGAAAUGCGCAGAUAUCGGGAAGAACACCCGUGGCGAAGGCGGUUCUCUGGGACGGUACUGACGCUGAGACGCGAAAGCGUGGGGAGCGAACAGG
rnacentral:rRNA from 1 species